AAGAACUUUCAGGUUCGUGAACAGGUAGAGAUUCAGGGAGAGAAGUGCACUCUGAAACGGUAUGGAAACUCCAUGCCUUUCCUUCAUACCCUGUUCUACAUCUCUUUCAUCUGGUUGUUUCUAAAUUUUAUAAUAAUCAGCCACUACCGAAGACAUUAUCACCUUUAAUGAAGAGAAAGAAAGCAAAAAAUACAAAAGGCUCUGUUUAUGUUUCUGCGUUGGAUGAUUCACAUCUACUUUUCCCUGUGCAGCCUUGGGAGAGGGAAGAGGCCCCUGGAGGAAACAACUGGAAAAGUUCAGGGAACUAAAUUCAGACAAGGUGUGCAUAUAGGGAAAACAGAUUUAAAUUUGGAAAUAUUAUACUACCAUGUGUGUAUAUGCUGGAAAUCACUUAGAAAAGAAUGCUUUGGAAAUACCUAGGAUAGUGGCCAGUACAUACAGUCAUGAAUGAAGGAUU